rnacentral:rRNA from 1 species
AGAAUCAACGCUGGCGGCGUGCCUAACACAUGCAAGUCGAACGGAAUACAGGGAGCUUGCUCCGAACUAUUUAGUGGCGAACGGGUGAGUAUCACGUGAGCAACCUGCCCCGAAGACUGGGAUAACACCGGGAAACCGGUGCUAAUACCGGAUGUCUUUCAAUGAUCGCAUGAUCGAUGAAAGAAAUGUUUUUUCGCUUUGGGAGGGGCUCGCGGUCCAUCAGCUUGUUGGCGGGGUAACGGCCCACCAAGGCUACGACGGAUAGCUGGUCUGAGAGGACGAUCAGCCACACUGGAACUGAGACACGGUCCAGACUCCUACGGGAGGCAGCAGUGGGGAAUCUUGCGCAAUGGACGAAAGUCUGACGCAGCAACGCCGCGUGAGGGACGAAGGCUUUCUGAGUUGUAAACCUCUUUCGACAGGAACGAUUGUGACGGUACCUGUAGAAGAAGCACCGGCCAACUAUGUGCCAGCAGCCGCGGUAA